rnacentral:lncRNA from 1 species
UGGAGAUCCUGGCUCGUUGAUCCUCCAGGCUGUUUACUGCGGAGCAGGACUGGGCCGUGACCUGUCACAUCACAAUCCCGCUGCCCUGAAGGAUGAGGACGACCCAGCCCAGCCUCCUCUGUCCGCUCCGCUUUCCCCGUAAGACUUCCUGAGCCAGACGGCCUGAGUUCCAACCACCUCCCUCUGGCCUGCAGGGGGGCCGCCUCAGGCUGUCGCCCUCCCUCUCUGCACCUGCGACAGACCACCCUCCCCAGGCAGGACAGCGUGAGAAAGAGGGAACGGGGGCCAUGUGGCCAGCAGCAGCGCCGAGAGCACGUUCUCUGCAAACCCUUCCCCGACCAUCCCAGGAUCCCAGUGGAGGCUGGAUCCCUCGGGAGAGUGAGGCCCAGGCUUGCGUCCACAGGCCCUGGGAAUGACAGGGCACACUCUUGCCUUCCUGGAG